GCAAGUCGAGGGGUAACGGAAGUAGCUUGCUACUAGACGACGACCGGCGCACGGGUGAGUAACGCGUAUGUAAUCUGCCUUGUACAGAGGGAUAGCCCAGAGAAAUUUGGAUUAAUACCUCAUAGUAUUACUGAAUCGCAUGAUUCGGUAAUUAAAGCUCCGGCGGUACAAGAUGAACAUGCGUGACAUUAGCUAGUUGGUAAGGUAACGGCUUACCAAGGCCACGAUGUCUAGGGGUUCUGAGAGGAUGAUCCCCCACACUGGUACUGAGACACGGACCAGACUCCUACGGGAGGCAGCAGUGAGGAAUAUUGGUCAAUGGACGCAAGUCUGAACCAGCCAUCCCGCGUGAAGGAUGACUGCCCUAUGGGUUGUAAACUUCUUUUAUAUGCAAAUAAACCUACUUUCGUGAAAGUAGCUGAAGGUAGCAUAUGAAUAAACACCGGCUAACUCCGUGCCAGCAGCCGCGGUAAUACGGAGGGUGUAAGCGUUAUCCGGAUUUAUUGGGUUUAAAGGGUACGUAGGCGGUAAUAUAAGUCAGUGGUGAAAUCCUGCAGCUCAACUGUAGAACUGCCAUUGAAACUGUAUUACUUGAG
rnacentral:rRNA from 1 species